AGUGAACGCUGGCGGCAGGCCUAACACAUGCAAGUCGAACGGCAGCACAGGAGAGCUUGCUCUCUGGGUGGCGAGUGGCGGACGGGUGAGGAAUACGUCGGAAUCUGCCUAUUUGUGGGG
rnacentral:rRNA from 1 species